rnacentral:lncRNA from 1 species
GCAUGAUUCGAUUAAUAAAUUAAAUUAUUUAUUGAAUUAUUAUUUAUAUGAAAUUGAUUAUGUAUUCAAGGGUACUUAGUAUAUUAGGGAGUGACACUUCUAAUAGAAUAUUGAGACAGGUGAGACCGAAAGGGUACCUUGUCGUGUAUAACUUGUGCCAAGUGGUGAGACCAGAAGGGGAUCCAUAUGCCAAGGAAGAGACCGAAAGGAUGACUUAGGUGAUAAAUGGUAAUCCUUAGUUGUAGCUAAGGGUGAUCAAUAACUCAAUCUAGGAUAAUUAAUUAUUUAAUUAAGCAACCAAUGAUUUAAUCGAUCAUAGGAUAGAGGCCCGC